rnacentral:tRNA from 1 species
GGUCUGGUGGUGUAGUUGGUUAUCACGUCAGUCUAACAGAUUUCGAGGUCUCCUCGGAACUGAGCACACUGAAGGUCUCCGGUUCAAGUCCGGGCUAGAUCA